UAGGGUUUGUAAGAAUAAAGGAUGUGGUAAAACCUACAAGGAGAAGGAUAACCAUGAUGCUGCAUGUGAAUACCAUCCAGGUCCUGCGGUUUUCCAUGACAGGAAUAGAGGGGUACGUAUUUUCUCUCUAAUUAAAUUUGUGUUCAUUUAUGUUCACCCUGAUUCUUACCUCCAUGUAUUUUCUCUUUGCAGUGGAAGUGUUGCGAUAUCCACGUCAAGGAGUUUGACGAAUUUAUGGAGAUACCUCCGUGCACAAAGGGGUGGCACAAUGCCGAUGCUGUGUGAGUUCACACCAUGACUCUUGCAUUAAGAGUUAUUUGUUGUAGUAUCUCCUCGUGCAUAAGGUUGGCAUCUUGCCGCAAUUUCUGGAGAACUGUGCUUGGAAGUGUGACCUGAUAUUCAAGAAUGGGCCUGCUUGAGUGUGCUCUGAUUAACUACCGUCGAAAUCUCAUGUGAUGUUUCAUGUAAUCUGGAAUCGGAACUUGAAACCAUAUGUGGACAUUUAGUAAUUUAACUACGCCAUGUUGAAGUUAAAUGUGCUGCUGCUUGAGUGAGCUCUGAGGAAUUUCCUCGAAAAUCUAAAUCUCAUGUGAUGUUUCACAUAAUCUGGAUUUGGUACUUGAAACCAUAUGUGGACGCUCAAUUUAGUAGUUGAACUAUGCCAUUUUGAAGUUAAAUGUGCUGCUGCUA
rnacentral:lncRNA from 1 species